rnacentral:tRNA from 1 species
AUUUAAAUAGCUUAAGUUAGAGCAAAGCAUUGAAGAUGCUUGGGUAGUAUACAGUAUUUUUAAAUA